rnacentral:rRNA from 1 species
CCUACGGGAGGCUGCAGUGGGGAAUAUUGCACAAUGGGGGAAACCCUGAUGCAGCGACGCCGCGUGAGUGAAGAAGUAAUUCGUUAUGUAAAGCUCUAUCAGCAGGGAAGAAAAUGACGGUACCUGAGUAAGAAGCCCCGGCUAACUACGUGCCAGCAGCCGCGGUAAUACGUAGGGUGCAAGCGUUAUCCGGAUUUACUGGGUGUAAAGGGAGCGUAGACGGCAGUGCAAGUCUGGAGUGAAAGGCGGGGGCUCAACCCCCGGACUGCUCAGGAAACUGUACGGCUGGAGUGAAGGAGAGGUAAGUGGAAUUCCCAGUGUAGCAGUGAAAUGCGUAGAUAUUAGGAGGAACACCAGUGGCGAAGGCGGCUUACUGGACUGUAACUGACGUUGAGGCUCGAAGGCGAGGGGAGCGAACAGGAUUAGAUACCCCAGUAGUC